rnacentral:rRNA from 1 species
AUGGUGGUUGGCGACUUUAACGAGAUUUUGUACUCACACGAGAAAGAAGGGGGUGCCCCGAGGCCCAUGAACAUGAUGCAAAAUUUCCAUGAUGCACUGGUCGACUGUGAAUUAGAAGAUAUGGGCUGUGUAGGCGAAAUGUUUACUUGGCGCAGGAGGAGGCUCCGGGAGCGAUUGGAUAGAGCUGUCUGCAAUGGUCAGUCCCAUGCCAUUUUUCCAUGAGCAAAGGUCGUAAAUGCAGAGCACACAAAACCAGAUCAUAGGCCAAUUUUUGUGGAUACGGAGGGUGACACUCAAGACAACCAACAUUGCACACAUAUGAAACAGUUUGAGGCAGGUUGGCUCAAGGAGCAGGAUGUCGUGCAAAUGGUGUCGGAGGCCUGGGAACGGACAGACCCCUCUGCACCCAUCGCUGCACGUAUUGCGGCUGUGCAUGAGGCCAUGCACGCCUGGGAUAGAGAAGUUCUUAAGGCGCCGCGUCGAUGCCUAAAGGAACUAAAGGAGGAGUUGGAGAUGCUGCAGUCAGGCCCUCUCACUGACGAGGUAGCGGACAGGCAACGAGUUUUUCUAAAAGAAAUCAAAGAAAACCUUGAAAGGGAGGAGAUAUAUUGGGUCCAACGAAGCCGAGCUAACUGGCUCAAAUUCGGUGAUAGGAAUACAAAUUUCUUUCAGAAUUUUACAACCGCGAGGAAAAUGAGAAAUCAUAUAAGGCAUCUACUGGACGAUGGAGGAGUCUAG